GACGAACGCUGGCGGCGUGCCUAAUACAUGCAAGUCGAGCGGAGUUUUUAAAAGCUUGCUUUUAAAAACUCAGCGGCGGACGGGUGAGUAACACGUGGGCAACCUGCCCUGUAGACUGGGAUAACUUCGGGAAACCGAAGCUAAUACCGGAUAAUCAUAGAAGUUGCAUAGCUUCUAUGUAAAAGUUGGGUUUACCUAACACUACAGGAUGGGCCCGCGUCGCAUUAGCUAGUUGGUAAGGUAACGGCUUACCAAGGCGACGAUGCGUAGCCGACCUGAGAGGGUGAUCGGCCACACUGGGACUGAGACACGGCCCAGACUCCUACGGGAGGCAGCAGUAGGGAAUCUUCCGCAAUGGACGAAAGUCUGACGGAGCAACGCCGCGUGAGCGAUGAAGGCCUUCGGGUCGUAAAGCUCUGUUGUUAGGGAAGAACAAGUGCUAUUCGAAUAGGGUGGUACCCUUGACGGUACCUAAACGAGAA
rnacentral:rRNA from 1 species